rnacentral:lncRNA from 13 species
AUGGUAAAGUCAAAGUCUCAAAUCACUAUCUUCAACUUACCCUCAACUUAUCUUCAACUUACCCUCAACUUAUCUUCGACUUACCCUAAACUUAUCUUCAACUUAUCUUCAAUUUACCCUCAACUUAUGUUCAAUUUACCCUCAAUUUAUCUUCAAUUUACCCUCAACUUAUCUUCAAUUAACCCUCAACUUAUCUUCAAUUUACCCUCAACUUAUCUUCAAUUUACCCUCAACUUAUCUUCAACUUACCCUCAACUUAUCUUCAACUUACCCUCAACUUAUCUUCAACUUACAAUUCAUCUUCAUCUACCUUCGUCUUUCCCCAGAACGGACGGCCAUGUUGAAAUAAAGUUCAAAGUAAGAGCAGUCUUUGGCCACUAUCUCCCUCAUCCUCAUCGCCAUCCUCGUCAUCGUACGUCCUCUUUCCCAGUAGGAAGACUGGAGCGUGCCCUCUUCUUCUCCUUAAACCGGCCUGACCGAGACACCCUCAGGUUCCUACGACACGUCUGUUCGUUGAAGACCGACUCAAACUGGGAGUCAUCGAAGGUCUCGUCGCUGAAGAGGCUGUUGCCUGUACUGACUGGUGCCUGUGACUGCUGUGAUGCUGGUGGCUGCUGUGACGCUGGUGACUGCUGUGAUGCUGGUAGCUGUUGUGAUGCUGGUGGCUGUUGGUCGGUUGGGAGUUUGGGGGCUGCUGCUGCUGAGAACAGUAGAAGAGAACAGUUUGGGGGAUUUCAAGGUGGCUUAACAUAUGUGGCCCGUUUCAGGAACUAUGUGGCAGGUCACUACUUUACAGGAGAGCCGUUUGAACGUAAACAAUAACUGAUGAUUUUACGAACGCUCAACACCUGUUGGCCGGAGGCAGUCAACAUCAGCAAAAUAACGUAAUUAAAUUGUUGCCAGCAGCACAGUCACCAACGCUCUGGAUAACAUGAAAACUGCCUAACCAAGCUCUGCUAGGGGGAGUAAAAUGGUCAGAGUUUUGGAUGGGGACUACAGUUUAAGAGGAUGAUGCUGAAUGGGUGGAAACAAAGAAGAGCUGUCCUGUAGGUACCAAAACAUUCAAGGGCCAUUUACAUUUACACAAGUCAAAUAAGAGCUUUCUAGACAGGUACCAAAACAUUCAAGGGCCAUUUACAUUUACACAAGUCAAAUAGGAGCUUUCUAGACAGGUACCAAAACAUUCAAGAGCCAUUUACAUUUACACAAGUCAAAGAAGAGCUGUCCUGUAGGUACCAAAACAUUCAAGGGCCAUUUACAUUUACACAAGUCAUUUUUCCAACAAUUGUUUAAAGACAGAUUAUUUAACUUAUAAUUCACUGUAUCACAAUUCCAGUGGGUCAGAAGUUUACAUACACUAAGUUGACUGUGCUUUUAAACAGCUUGGAAUAUUCCAGAAAAUGAUGUCAUGGCUUUAGAAGCUUAUGAUAGGAUAAUUGACACCAUUUGAGUUAAUUGGAGGUGUACCUGUGGAUGUAUUUCAAGGCAACUGCACAUGGGGACACAGAUCAUACUUUUUGGAGAAAUGUUCUCUGGUCUGAUGAAACAAAAAUAGAACUGUUUGACCAUAAUGACCAUUGUUAUGUUUGGAGGAAAAAUGGGGAGGCUUGCAAGCCGAAGAACACCAUCCCACUUCACAAAAUAGAUGGCAUCAUGAGGGAGGAAAAUGAUGUCGAUAUAUUAAAGCAACAUCUCAAGACAUUAAAGCUUAGUCGCAAAUGGGUCUUCCAAAUGUACAAUGACCCCAAGCAUACUUCCAAAGUUGUGACAAAAUGGCUUAAGGACAAGAAAGUCAAGGUAUUUGAGUGGCCAUCACAAAGCCCUGACCUCAAUCCUAUUGAACAUUUGUGGGAAGAACUGAAAAAGCGUGUGCGAGCAAGGAGGCCAACAAACCUGACUCAGUUACACCAGCUCUGUCAGGAAGAAUGGGUCAAAAUUCACCCAACUUAUUGUGGGAAGCUUGUGGAAGGCUACCCGAAACGUUUGACCCAAGUUAAACAAUUUAAAGACAAUGCUAGCAAAUACUAAUUGAGUGUAUGUAAACUUCUGACCCACUGAGAAUGUGAUGAAAUAAAUAAAAGUUUAAAUAAAUAAUUCUCUCUACAUUUUAUUCUGACAUUUCACAUUCAUAAAAUAAAGUGUUGAUCCUAACUGACCUAAAACAGGGAUUUUUUUUUAUUACUAGGAUUACAUUUCAGUAAUUGUGAAAAAAAGAGUUUAUUAAGUGUAUUUAAGGUGUAUGUAAACUUCCGACUUCACUGCGGGUGCUGAGAUGACUUACAGUGUGGUGUUGCUAGGACUCCCUGUGUGCUGGGCGUCAGAGGGUCCUUCAUUGUGUCGGGGAGCUGAGUGGCGAUGUCCUUGGUACCACUACUCGUUCUCUUAUUGUUCCCCAUAAACGCUCUCCACCAAGUCACUCUCUCGGCCAUCUUCCACCUGCUACAGACAUUAACAGGUCCACCUUUAUGCCGAGUAUCACUCAGACAUGUAUUAAACAGUAUAUCUAAAACGAAUGUUGUCAUAGUGAUG